rnacentral:rRNA from 1 species
GAUGAACGCUGGCGGCGUGCCUAAUACAUGCAAGUCGAGCGAACGGACGAGAAGCUUGCUUCUCUGAUGUUAGCGGCGGACGGGUGAGUAACACGUGGAUAACCUACCUAUAAGACUGGGAUAACUUCGGGAAACCGGAGCUAAUACCGGAUAAUAUUUUGAACCGCAUGGUUCAAAAGUGACAGACGGUCUUGCUGUCACUUAUAGCUGGAUCCGCGCUGCAUUAGCUAGUUGGUAAGGUAACGGCUUACCAAGGCAACGAUGCAUAGCCGACCUGAGAGGGUGAUCAGCCACCCUGGAACUGAGACACGGUCCAGAGUCCUACGGGAGGCAGCAGUAGGGAAUCUUCCACAAUGGGCGAAAGCCUGACGGAGCAACGCCGCGUGAGUGAUGAAGGUCUUCGGAUCGUAAAACUCUGUUAUUAGGGACGAACAUAUGUGUAAGUAACUGUGCACAUCUUGACGGUACCUAAUCAGAAAGCCACGGCUAACUACGUG